rnacentral:tRNA from 1 species
GCCGACCUGGUCGAGCAGGCCGCCCCGGGGGUAGUCAAUAUAUCCACCACGCGUACUUUGGAGCGUGGCCAGGCGUUCGAGGGGUUCGGUGGGCA